AUUGAACGCUGGCGGAAUGCUUUACACAUGCAAGUCGAACGGUAGAGGGGGCAACCCCUCGAGAGUGGCGAACGGGUGAGUAAUAUAUCGGAACGUGCCCAGUCGUGGGGGAUAACGUAGCGAAAGUUACGCUAAUACCGCAUACGAUCUACGGAUGAAAGCGGGGGAUCGCAAGACCUCGCGCGAUUGGAGCGGCCGAUAUCAGAUUAGGUAGUUGGUGAGGUAAAGGCUCACCAAGGCAACGAUCAGUAGCUGGUCUGAGAGGACGACCAGCCACACUGGGACUGAGACACGGCCCAGACUCCUACGGGAGGCAGCAGUGGGGAAUUUUGGACAAUGGGGGCAACCCUGAUCCAGCAAUGCCGCGUGUGUGAAGAAGGCCUUCGGGUUGUAAAGCACUUUUGUCAGGAACGAAACGGUGGAGGCUAAUACCUUCUGCUAAUGACGGUACCUGAAGAAUAAGCACCGGCUAACUACGUG
rnacentral:rRNA from 1 species